rnacentral:rRNA from 1 species
GAGUGGCGGACGGGUGCGUAACGCGUAUGCAACCACCCCCGACAGGCGGACAGCCGGUGGAAACGCCGGAUAAUACGCCAUACGGCCGCGGUGAGGCAUCUCACCGCGGUCAAAGCCUCGGCGGUCGGGGACGGGCAUGCGUGCCAUUAGAUAGUCGGCGGGGUGACGGCCACCGAGUCUACGAUGGCUAGGGGAUCUGAGAGGACGGUCCCCCACACUGGUACUGAGACACGGACCAGACUCCUGCGGGAGGCAGCAGUAAGGGAUAUUGGGCAAUGGGGGUAACCCUGACCCAGCCAAUGCCGCGUGAGGGAAUGAGGCCCUACGGGUCGUGUAACCUCUUUUAUUCGGGGACAAGGACGGGGUCGUGAACUCCGUUUGAGGGUACCGAAGGAAUAAGCGUCGGCUAACUCCGUGCCAGCAGCCGC